rnacentral:rRNA from 1 species
AUAGAUACCCGGGUAGUCCAUGCCGUAAACGUUGGGCACUAGGUGUGGGGGACAUUCCACGUUUUCCGCGCCGUAGCUAACGCAUUAAGUGCCCCGCCUGGGGAGUACGGCCGCAAGGCUAAAACUCAAAGGAAUUGACUGGGGGCCCGCACAAGCGGCGGAGCAUGCGGAUUAAUUCGAUGCAACGCGAAGAACCUUACCAAGGCUUGACAUGAACCGGAAACGCCUGGAAACAGGUGCCCCACUUGUGGUCGGUUUACAGGUGGUGCAUGGAUGUCGUCAGCUCGUGUCGUGAGAUGUUGGGUUAAGUCCCGCAACGAGCGCAACCCUCGUUCUAUGUUGCCAGCACGUGAUGGUGGGGACUCAUAGGAGACUGCCGGGGUCAACUCGGGAGGAAGGUGGGGACGACGUCAAAUCAUCAUGCCCCUUAUGUCUUGGGCUUCACGCAUGCUACAAUGGCCGGUACAAAGGGUUGCGAUACUGUGAGGUGGAGCUAAUCCCAAAAAAGCCGGUCUCAGUUCGGAUUGGGGUCUGCAACUCGACCCC